AGUGAACGCUGGCGGUAGGCCUAACACAUGCAAGUCGAACGGCAGCACAGUAAGAGCUUGCUCGUACGGGUGGCGAGUGGCGGACGGGUGAGGAAUACAUCGGAAUCUACUUUUUCGUGGGGGAUAACGUAGGGAAACUUACGCUAAUACGGCAUACGACCUACGGGUGAAAGCAGGGGAUCUUGGGACCUUGCGCGAUUGAAUGAGCCGAUGUCGGAUUAGCUAGUUGGCGGGGGAAAGGCCCACCAAGGCGACGAUCCGUAGCUGGUCUGAGAGGAUGAUCAGCCACACUGGAACUGAGACACGGCCCAGACUCCUGCGGAAGGCCGCAGUGGGGAAUAUUGGACAAUGGGCGCAAGCCUGAUACAGCCAUACCGCGUGGGUGCAGAAGGCCUUCGGGUUGUAAAGCCCUUUUGUUGGGAAAGAAAAGCAGCAGGUUAAUCCCCCGCUGUUCUGACGGUACCCAAAGAAUAAGCACCGGCUAACUUCGUG
rnacentral:rRNA from 1 species